UCUACAGGUAGAGGCUAAGAAGCUCGCCCCGAAAGCAACACGGGCGCCCCUAAGGGACGAGCGGAGCCAUUGGCGCGACCGGCUACCCACGAG
rnacentral:ncRNA from 1 species